GCAGUGACUAUGACAGCAUUUUAAUAAGAUAAUAUACUCAUUUUAACACAGCCUUUAUUUUCUGUUUCAAAACAAAAUUUCCAGGAAACAAAAUACUUAACAAUGGUUGGGUACAAAUGAAAUAAAAAUCACAGUUUCAAAGAACCAAAAUCAGACAACUGCUUAAAGGCAGAUUGUAAAGGUUAAGUGUAGAGAAGUGGCUAAAAUUCUGCAUAUUUUAUAGUA
rnacentral:lncRNA from 1 species